rnacentral:rRNA from 1 species
GUCCUGGCCGUAAACGUUGGGCACUAGGUGUUGGAGGCAUCGACCCCUCCAGUGCCGCAGCUAACGCAUUAAGUGCCCCGCCUGGGGAGUACGGCCGCAAGGUUGAAACUCAAAGGAAUUGACGGGGCCCGCACAAGCGGUGGAGCAUGUGGUUCAAUUCGACGCAACGCGAAGAACCUUACCCAGACUUGACAUGCACGGGACCGGUGUAGAAAUACACCUUCCCUUCGGGGCCCGUGCACAGAUGCUGCAUGGCUGUCGU